GACGAACGCUGGCGGCGUGCUUAACACAUGCAAGUCGAACGGAAAGGCCCUGCUUUUGUGGGGUGCUCGAGUGGCGAACGGGUGAGUAACACGUGAGUAACCUGCCCCUGACUUUGGGAUAACUUCAGGAAACUGGGGCUAAUACCGGAUAGGAGCUCCUGCUGCAUGGUGGGGGUUGGAAAGUUUCGGCGGUUGGGGAUGGACUCGCGGCUUAUCAGCUUGUUGGUGGGGUAGUGGAUUACCAAGGCUUUGACGGGUAGCCGGCCUGAGAGGGUGACCGGCCACAUUGGGACUGAGAUACGGCCCAGACUCCAACGGGAGGCAGCAGGGGGGAAUAUUGCACAAUGGGCGGAAGCCUGAUGCAGCAACGCCGCGUGCGGGAUGACGGCCUUCGGGGUGUAAACCGCUGUCGACUGUGACGAAGCGUGAGUGACGGUAAUGGGUAAAGAAGCACCGGCUAACUACGUG
rnacentral:rRNA from 1 species